rnacentral:rRNA from 1 species
AUGGCGUUCAAUAGAGCACAACUGUUGCUUGCUGCCUUCACUCUGGGUUUGCUCCUCGUGUCCCACAGUGCAGAGGCUUACCAUGGGUUUUGUCACUCCAUUAGCAAGACUUACAAAAGAAUAUGCACUGACAAGGAGGACUGCUCGAAGGCGUGCAUACGCGAGAACUUCUAUGAUGGCUUCUGCUCCGACAUUGAGAUUGAUCAUCACGUGUGCGUCUGCCGCACAGAGUGCAUGAAUGCACUGCCGCCACAAUAUAACGUACCAGAGUUGGCGCCAUCCAAAGGGCGAUCAGAAGCAAAAGUCAUGCCCGCAAGAAAAGUCUCCAUAGGCAUGUACAAUUGA